ACUUACUUGGCCAAAAACACUUGGAAUCGUCACUUACUUGUGCUAAGGAAAUUAUCACAGAGACCUAAAUGUAUACUAAUCUAAUGUGAAAGCAAAUUCCUUUAUAUUUUUCCAAACAUAAUGAUCAAUACCCAAUGAAACUCUUCUAUAAUUUAUCUAUAGUUUGAUAAUGAAGAACAUUUUAAAUGUAUAGUAAUUUCAGCAAACAUGUUUUAUAUUUUUGUUUCCCUAAAAAUAGUUAUAGAUAUUGUGUUCUUUUUAACAGUUUUUAAAUAAAAAUUGUAUAUGAAAUUCAUGUUUAAAAAUUAUGCAUGCUCUUUAUAUAUUCAGAGAGAGACAAAGAUUUGUUACUAAAAACAACAGCAGCAGCAAAAACAUAGUGGUCUCCUAUUCUCUUACUCCUCAUUAUUCCUUCCCCAGACCUCCCUGUAACACAUUCUUUUGGUAUUUAUAUCCAUGUUUCUAAACACACACAUUGCCUUGUUGCUGUCUGACUCAGGAAGCUUGAGGAAUCAGCUAAUGACUUCUCACUAAGGACAAUGAAAAUUCAGGUCUGUCCCUUUACCUCCAAUCAUAGCAUGUCGCACGCUUUCUGUUCUCACUGCUGCUCCCGAUACAGCUGUCUCAUAACUUCGAUUAUAUUCUAAUCAAAGUUAGUUUUCUUGGAUUGUGAUUGUGUAAACCCUGUUCAUAGCUGGGCCUCAGAUUAGUGGUGACCAAUGAUGACAACUUUGCCUUGCAUGCACCACUGCUUGUCUUCUCUGAUGUUAAUAAUGCCUUGCCUCUCAGUUUUACUGUUUCAACCCCAAACUCUGCCUCACAAAUCUAAAUUGCCUUUGUAUGAUCAGGCACAUGAGGUGUCCUAUCAGUGCACCUCAUUAGGGAGCUCUUCAAAUGUCCUUGCCAGCCACUUCCCUGAGUGCCCUGUGCACAGAUUUCUUCAAGCACCAUUCGCUUUUAUCCUAGGAGGCAGCUCCUCCCUCUAUGUGGGCUUUUACCUGUUUCUGGACCCAUGACUUUCUCUUUUUUAUUCACUCGAUUUUAGUGAAGCCUUCUUCCUAUAGCUUCUUUAGAAAGUGUGCCCAGGAAAUAAAUUGAGACCUUGAUUCCUGUUUGACCUCUCUGAAAUUCGAAGGAUUUUUUCUCUUUGCUUCUAGUGUUCUGAAAUUUCAUAAUGGCCCUUUGGUGGCUUCUUUUCAUCUAUUAUGCUGGUACUUGAAAUGCCCUUUUAACAUGAAAUUUCAUGUCCUUUAGUUCUGGGAAGUAUCCUUGAAUAGUUUUGAUUAUAUCUUUCCCACUUAAAAGUUUUUUUAUCAACAUAUUUAUUGUACAUACUAAUGGAAUUCAGUGUACAUGCAUAUAGUAUGCACUGAUCAAAUCUGUCUAGGAUUUAUUCAGAUGUAGGAUCUGUUGGACCAGUCUUUUCAUUUUCUUAUUUUCUCUUUUGUUGUACUACUUAUUGAAGAAUUGAGGUUCUUAUCCCUUUCUUGAGUUCUUUUCAUUUCUGUUAUCCUAUAUUUAAUAUUUCAAAGUUUUCUUUUCCCUCUAAAUUGUAUUUUUGUGUAGUAUUCUGUUCUUGUUUCAUGGUUGCAGCAUCUUAUCUGAAUAUAUUAGUGAUUGUUUUCAUAUUUUUAAACUCAGUUUUCUUCUCCCUGCAUAGCCUCUGUAGCAUUUCUAUGUUUUGGUCUCUUUUUGCAUACUGUGAGCACACUUUUGAUGCCUCAUGCUGCUUGUUGGCAUGUGGAUGGGGUUGGCCAACCUAUCAGUGAUCUGUACCACACACUUGCAGUUAGGGGAUCUGGCCUGGCAGAGUUGUUGCCAGCACCCCCAAUGGCUUAUCCUAGGCCUUCCCUUAUCGAUUUCAGAUUUCCUGUAGAAGAGGUGCUUCCCAGCUCUUUCUUGGGGGACAAAGUCUAGGUGCUAGCUUUCAGGAGCCAUGUGAGGAAAGAAAGCAGGAGUACCUGGCAUUCAGUAUGUGAAUAUUCAACGAAUAGUCAUGUUUAUAAUAACUACCCUGACACUCAACAAUAAAGACAGUUAUUAUAAGGUAACCUUACUUAUUGACCCCCAAUUAGAGAUAUUCUGUUUUACCCUCUCUGAAGAAUAAACUUCCCAUCUUCUCCUGGGUUCAGGAGCCUAAUUGCAUAGAACUGCAAAGAGGAAAGAGUUACCGAAAAUCUCAGCCAGCCCUCCUUAUUCUAGCCACACUCCCCUUAGUCCUCUGCUAUCAAAAGUACUUGUGCCAGGCGUGGUGGCGCAUACCUGUUAUCCCAACUACUCAGGAGGUUGAGGCAGGAGGAUCGCAUGUUCAAAGCAGGCCUGGGAAAUUUAUUGAGACCCUGCCUCAAAAUAAAAACUAAAAUGGGCUGGGGAUGUAGUAAAUUGGCGAAGUACCCCUUGGCUCUAUCCCUAGGACCACAAAAAUUAAAAUUUAAAAAAAGUACUUCUCGGGCUUGGGGUUGUGGCACAGUGGUAGAGUGCUUGCCUCACAUGUGUGGCGCACUGGGUUCGAUCCUCAGCACCACAUCAAUAAAUAAAGGUAUUGUGUCCAUGUACAACUAAGAAUUUUUUUUUUUUUAGAAAAGGCACUUCUUGUUACCAGUUUCUUAAAUGUUCAUGGAGAUGGUGUCUUAGCCAUGCUGCUUCUCAGCUUAUAUUACCAUGUAUUUAUGUGUGUGUGUUUGUUUUUGAUGAACUAUUUGGGAGUUAUUGACAUUAUGAUACUUCAUCUAUGAAGAUUGAUGAGUGUGCAUCUCAUAUGAACAAGGACAGUUUCCUGCAUAACCACAAUAGUAUUAUCACAGUUCAGAUAAUCAGCAUUUCUUAGUAAUAUCCUUAGUAAUGUAUAGUCAAAUGACCCCACUUGUCUCAAAAUGGAUCUUAUAUUUUUAAAAUACUUAUCAGAAUGCCUCUGAGGAAAAUUGCACUUGUUCUUAUAUUGCAAAUGAUAAAAAUAAGAUCCCCAAAAUAUUAAGAAUAAACUAAUAUGCAAGAAGUAAUUUGCCAGCUGUUGUUGAUAUAUGGCUUUUUGCAUCUGCAACCUUGGAAACCACUUGGGUUUUGAGGAAGCUGUGGCAUAUUACUGUUGAUUUGGGGAACUCACUCAAUUUGGGCCUACUCUUUCCUAAACAUCUGUAUUUCUAGAGUUCAUGUGGUCCUUGUCAAACCUGUGUAAUUCUUAGAUUGCAGGAUUAGGUGUUAGACAGUAUUGGCAUAAGAAAUAAAUUUCUUUUUUUUUUUUUGAAUAUUUUAAUAUUUAUUUUUUAGUUUUCAGCGGACAUAACAUCUUUGUUUAUAUGUGGUGCUGAGGAUCGAACCCGGGCCGCACGCAUGCCAGGCGAGCGCGCUACCACUUGAGCCACAUCCCCGGCCCAGAAACAAAUUUCUUUACUGCAGAAUGAUUGGGUGCUGUGUUCAAAGAAAAAGUAGUCUAAAAAAUUCUAUGUUAACACCAGGUGUGGUAGCACACUCAUGUAAUCCCAGUGGCUUAGGAGACUGAGACAGGAGGAUCACAAGUUCAAAGCCAGCAACUUAGUGAGGCCCCAAGCAACUUAGUAAGACCCUGUCUCUAAAUAAAAUAUAAAAAGGACUGGGGAUGUGGCUCAGUAGUUAAGUGACCCUGGGUUCAGUCCCUGGUACAAAAAAAACCCAAAAAACAAAAAACAAACAACUAUGUUAAGUAAAAUAACUGCUGUAGUUUGAAAUUCUUUUGUUUCAGUAGAUUACUUAAGGAUCUUAUGUAUAUUUCUUUUUUGUGUCAGGGGUACUGGGGACUGAACUCAGGGGCACUCAACCGCUGAGCCACAUCCCCAGCCCUAUUUUGUAUUUUAUUUAGAGACGAGUCUCACUGAGUUGCUUAGCACCUCACAGUUGCUGAGGCUGGUUUUGAUCCUCCUGUCACAGCCUCCCGAGCCAGAGGGAUUAUAGGCGUGCACCACCGCCACCGCGCCCAACUAAGUAUAUUAUUCAUUUUAAUUUAUUUUUUUUUUCUGUUUGGGGGAUUGAACCUAGGGCCUCUUGCCUGAUAGGUAAAUGCUUUACCACUGGGGUAUAUCCCUAGCCCCGUAUAUUUCAUUUCAGUAAUGAAAAUCUGAGGUUCUCAAUGAAAGUAUUCUGAAUAUGGCCUCUGCUAUCUGCCCUUCUGCCUUCCCCCUUUUCACUACACUUUUAAAGAACCCUUUGACUCUGGUACCCACUGAAUUGACAAAGGCAGGGAAUAAGGAGGAAUUGGAGUGGAGGAAGGAGGAGUGGAGAAAAGGAGACAACUGGAGAGAGACAGAGACACAAAAGAAAGAAGGAGAAGGAGGAGGGCAGAAGGGAGGGGAGCAUCUCAUAGUUAAAGGUCACAUUUGCUGAAAGAGUUUGUGAAGACCUAACCAAUCACUUUUUGGAUCUAGGACACUUUCUUAGAUGACUUUGCCUUUUAAUAAUUCCUCAACCAACAAUUAGUCAGGAAAGAGAAACCCAGAAAUAGCCCAUUCCAGCUCCUGCAUUAACCAAACAACCCAAACUCUUUGUUCCCAGAUAUUUACCUUCUUUCUGUUGCUCCCCUGCCUAUCCUCCCAUCUCCUCCAGCAGACCCUGGGCUGCCCACACUCAGGAAUGCCCAGGGCUUCUGAGAAUCAUCGAAAAGCUGGUAUUCCUGCUUCCUGGUUGCUCAGGCCUUGGCUGCUGGCCUGAUUGGCUCACAGGGUUCCCUUUGGCACCUGUGACCUUGUAAGACAGAAGAAAAGCACUGUAAUUUGUAGCCUUCCGUGAAUGUUUACAUCUACCUGCUGUGUAGGUACGUGGGGUACAUCUUUUUUCUUUCUUAGCUGCUCCCUGCCAUCUCACAACAGUCCUGAGACAUAGGGCAGUUAGGUGGUAGUUAUUCCUAUUUAUAUUCUGCUACUCUAUUAACUGGCAUUCAAAUUUGUAUACACAGAUUACUCUCAGCCAGGCACAGUGGUUCACACCUGUAAUUCCAGUGUCUUGGGAGACUUAGGAAGAAAGAUUGUGAAUUUGAGGCCAGCCUCAACAACUUAGCAAGACUCUGCUCAAAAUAAAAAGUAAAAAAGAUGGGAAUGUAGCUCAUGGUGAAGUACCCCUGGGUUUGACCCCCAGUACCAAAAAAAGAAAAACAACAACUGCUCUUUAACUUUGAACUUAAUAAGUCAAAAGAAAUGUAAACGUGAAUAAAUAGGAAAAUUUGUCUCCUAACAUUAUUAUUGUCAAAACAGCAUUCUCCUUCAGUUUCCUAACCUUACAAAGCACAUUUAUUUAUAGUCCCAAAUAUUUUUAUGCAAUUUUUUAUUGCCAUACAGAAAAGACACGGAUCACACAGAGUGCAACUUGAUACAUUUGCACAAACUAAACUUAGCAGUGUUCAAAAAGAAAAAGUGACAUCAUCAGAAUCUCAAAGAGAUCUUUGUGGGGUCAGGAAUGCCCACCUCUUGGCCACUGCCUCCCUAGGGCAGCUACUAUGCUGACCUCCAACAGCACAGAGAAUUUUGAGCCAUUUUCAGUAUUCUACAUGAACCAAGCUUCUAAUAUUUGACAUGUGAAACAAAAUGUAAUAUGUUUUAAAAUGAAAGGGACUUUGGAACUCAUAUAUACCUUGGGGCAGGGUGAUCCAGGGUUAGAAAAAGAAGAAUGAGAAGUCAAAGCAGUUUUUUCUUCAUAUCUGAAGUGCAUGGUAACAUUACAGCAGCAGGUCACACACUGUGAGUGACAAAGUAGUCUGGAGGACCUGUGGAUAAAAUUGUAGUAACAGAAAUGCACUCAGAGCAGCCAUGUCUCAAAGGUCCAGGGCUUGGGAGAAUUUUUGAUAUUUGCUCUCUGCCUUCCAAGAGUUCUUGCAUCAGGCAUGAUUUUGAGAACAUGCAUGUAUUCAUGUGUGAGUUACUUUACAAGUUGUUAUAUCUUGAGAAGCUUUCUGAUGUGGGAUGUCACUGCCCCCUUCCAGGGCUAAGAGAGACCCUGCCCCCUCUGUGGGGCUCUGAAGAGUCAAGGACAGAAAAUGACCAACGUCCAUAAUGUCGGGUGAGCCUUGGCCACCUGGAUCCCUUACACGGUGUGUGAAUCGCGUCUUCCUGGACUGGGUUGCUCUGUGAGAACAGUCUGUUUUCAGUGAACUCUUGCAGUUUCAUCAGCUGGAACAAAUCAUAAACUCGGGCUUCUCCGGUGUCCUUGAUUAUGCUCAAGUCCCCAGUUAGCGUCAUGAAACAAAGCCUGAGGGAGCUGACCAAGUUCAAGAAGCAAAUGGCAGGUUCACAUAACCAGUAAAUGGAUUCCAAUCCGGUUCUGUUGGAUCCCAAAGUGAUUUACUCUUUCUUCUAUGUUCUGCUGAUUAUAUUAUUAACCUUUUUCUAACUGUCUCUAAAAUGUAUCUCUAAAAUCAUAAAACUAAUUUUGGGAGUCUGCUUUGUAAACCAGAUGCAAAUAAGAGGAAAUAAAAAAUAUUGUUGCAGAAUGCCAUCAUUAUUGAAGUAAGCAAAUUCUUGGUGGGAAAACUCUAAUGUCUAUGUCUAUGUUCUCGUAGUACAUUUGAGAAAACCAAGUAUUUUGAGAGGAUGCAUCAUACAUAGUAGAUGAUUUUUCCAAAUUAUCUGACAUGAUGUUCACACUGGAUUUUUCAAAGAUGUGUUAAUUAACUUAUUGGACAGUGAGUCAUAUCAUGUUAUGUAAAUGACUUUAGGAAAUUUAACUUAAUUAUUCCUGGUUAGAGCACUAGAAGCGCUUGCUGCCAUAUGGCUUCUCUUUCAUAGACAAAUACUUAUGCUAAAGUUACAGGUAAGAAGGACAGGACCACUUGGUAAUAUUGAAACUGGAAGCUUAGUCUCCUGUGAGGCUCUGACAUGGAGCUGGAGGCCAUCUGGAGGUUAGACCAGCAGGAGCUCUGGCUGUCACAGAGUUUGGUGCAGGUUUUUAAAAAAAAAUUUUUAAGGAGCUAGGCAUGGUUUUGCAAACCUGUAAUCCUAGCUACUCAGGAGUCUGAGGCAGGAGGAUCACAAGUUCAUGGCUAACCUGGGUAACUUAGUGAGAACUUGUCUCAAAAUAAAAAUAUAAAAAGGGUUGGGGAUGUAGCUUAGGAGUAAAACAUCACUAGGUUCAAUCCCCAGUACCACAUACAUACACACACAAAAAUGUUGUUAAGGGAUUGGAAAUUUGUCAGUAAUGUUCCUUUCCAAAGGAUCAUCCAUUCAAAAUUCUUGAGAUGUAAAAAAUAAAAUAUUUUUAUAUCUUAUGUCCAA